CUACGGUUCUUCACAUAUUCCCCAAACCAAAGAAAGAUUACAUUUUUACCCUCAUCUCUUUCUCUCUCUACCACUCACUUAAAGAGAGGAGCACCAUGCAUACAAAUCCAUGUGCACAAAGAAAGAAAGCAGUGAGGAGAUUGUGUGAGAAGAGAGUUGAGCUGAGCUGAGCUCUGAAGAAGAAGAGGUGUAAGCUAGAGGAAGAAGAAAGUAGCUGUACCAAAGUGAGUGGUAGAGAGUGGGUGAGAUCAAUGGAGCUCUUCCCUUCGCAGCCGGAUCUUUCCCUCCAGAUCGGCCUCCCCACGGGUGCAAGCGCGGCGACGCAUGGCCAUGAUAACCACCACGGCCUAAACGCGAGGUUCUUUGCCGCGGGCGGCAGCACGGCAAUGGCGGCACCGUCGCCGUCGCUGCCGCUUCCCAUGCCGAUGCCG
rnacentral:lncRNA from 1 species